GAUGGGAGUUAAUAAUUAUCCAAAUUUUAGUCACAUGUUUUGAGGGACCACAGCAACAACAUUGUAUUUGCAGGCCAUUAAUUUAGUUGGUGAUGACAGUGUUUAGAUAAGUAGAUUGUUUUAUCAAAAAAUGUGAGAGUGAAGGAGGAGGUUUGAUUUGUAAUCUGGCAUUUGGGUGCCACUUUUAAGAGUCUGUGCAGGAGCAUAGAUUGUUUUGGUUGUUUUUAAAGAUAUAUUUAACAGUUUAUUUCGGUGCAGUAAGGAUAUAGCAGUUUUGAAAGACUUAAAAUCGAAAGCAAAAUUACAUUUUAAUUCUGACAUAUGCCAGCUAACAUGAGGAUGGCAAAUAAAUAAAUGAAUAAAUACUAGGUCAAAUGUGGCAUGUGUUUUAAAUUGGGCGAUAAGACAUUCACUUUCAAGCACUAUAAUUUAGCGCUGCUGACAACAAUAACUUAUGAGAUGGUAAAUCAAGGAGGAGUGUCAUAGUUGGAACACAGGGGCUGUAUGACCUAUAGAUUGAACAAUAACAUUCACCGCAUAUACAACCAUGUUGGUAGAUUGUUAAAUUACAUUACAGUUUAUUACAAAAGAUUUCGGAACUUUAUUUGAUGAUAAACACUGGAACGAGGAGUUUAGCCGUGUUAAUGGGUAGGGUGGAUGGAUUGCUCAGAAGAAAAAAAGCAUUUGAUAAGGGCGGCUUGAUAGUAAGAUGAUGAGUGUGCGCAACUGAUAGGAUACAAAAUGUUAAUAGGAAGAUUUGGGGUGUAAGGAACAAAUACUACACAGGAAGACUGAUAACACAAAGAUAGUUUUGUUAAAUUUGUGUCCCAGUGUGUUCUUCCCUAGCGCGUGGCACGAUUCCUGAACUGAGUCCUCUUACUCCACUGGCUGUCUCAAAAUCAACAGAGGACUGUCCCUGGUCAUGAGACACCUUUGACCUUUGGGAGAACAACAGAAACUGCUAUCAUGCUUGAAGGGGGCAAGCACAGCUUUUCACAGGACAAGAACCAUACAGUUGGUGGAAUACACACAGUUGCAGAUCAAAAAGACUGAAAGAACAAAGACAAGAUGGACGCAUUUGAGAGUGGCGGAUGAUCCAGCCCUGAAUCAUCAUCAUGAGAAUCUAAGAGGAGAGGCUGCUAAAGACUUGCAUGAGUCACACGAAGUCAAACUGGACACAUUGCUAAAGACUGCUGAAGCAUUACAAAGUUGGUGGAGUGUGGGACAAAAGGGAUGGAAGUGUGUUUGGGUGCUGGGGCGGACAUAUCUGAGGAGUUUUGAUAAAAGAGGGAAUAAUAAGGCUGCUUAUUGACACUGAAACGGGGAUAACAACAAAAUACAUAGAUAUGGACAGCGAAGAUGCAUUAAUAAUAACAAAUCAUACGACAGCGUGAUCAGAAACUUUGCAAAGUGGAUAUUGAUCGAUAGAAAUUAAAUUUAUCAAAACGACAGAAUUUAAUUAUACAUCAAUUGCGACAAUUGAUUUAAAUGACACUUUAUGAUAGGCAUUUAUGGUUAGGGUUAACAAUCCAUCCAUCCAUCCAUCCAUCCAUUACUGGUGCGGCUUGUCCUUACGAGGGUCACGGAGGAUUAACAGUAAUAACUAGAAUUUGUAAUUUUUGGAGAAAUUGUGUGUGAAGGUGAAGAGGCUGAAUACAAAAUCGGGGAAUGCUACAAGAUUAUGUUUAAAUUUAGAACGUGUUAAAUUGGUCAGAAAAUGGAUGAAAAUUUCGAAAGAAUUUCGCAAAAUUGGGCGUGAAUUUUGAAGUUGAAAAUUUGAAAUUUUUCACAAGUGGGAAGUUUUGGAAUAGGUGGGCAUAAGAUGAACAGUUAAAAAAUUUGAAACAGGUUGAGUCAGUGAAAAAAUAAUUAGAAAUUAGAAGGAAAAAAGGAAAUUUUGCAAAAUGUUGCCGCAAUGUUGAAAGUGGAAAUGGGAAGUUUUAAGCUAGAAAGUGAGAGAAGGUGAAUUGGAAAGUGAAAGAAGGUUAAUUGGAGGAAUUAUGUGGAAGAAAAUGAGAAAUAUUGAAUGUGCCAUGAAGAAUGAAUGGUGAAAUAUUGGCUUAAAAUUUGUAAAUUUCUCGAAAAUCGUAAAUAUUUAGAAUAUUUGGUAUUAAUAUUUGGAAUGUGUUAAAAGUGGAAUGAAGUGAAUCAGACAAUUUAAAGUACAGGAACAAUAAGUGUGAGGGCCACAAUGAUGAUCAUGACAGCAAAAAUAUUCCUAAUUGGUUUUGAUAGGUAGAAAGGGGGAGCGUGGAAGGUUUUCAAACUUUGUGAUAUAGCGUGACUCCAUUAUCAAAAGUAAGCAUUUAAUUUUAAGAAUUGGCAUCAACAAAAAUGAGAACGAUAAUCUUCAAGGUGAUAGCGUAAGUGGCAGGAGGAAGCUGUGUAUAUUGUUUUUAAACAUUAUUUUUGGUAUCAUUAUUUUUUAGGAGGGUCAGUUAUGCUUGUGAGAAGAUGACUGAGGGAACAAGGUAACAGUAAAAGGGAGUGCUCUAUAAAUUGUUGGUUCUUUGCCAGAGGUAGUUAUUUGGAGGGAUGAAUUUAAACGGAAAGCAAAAUGGAACUGUUUAGUAGAAGAAAUAUGGGAAUGUGGAAAUAUUGAAGUUACAGCUCAACACAAAGUGUCAAAUAGUCUAAGUGAGAGAUGUGAGCAAACUAAAUGGGGAGUUAAAUCAUGUUCCAGCAUUAUGCAUAUUGGCAAACGAGGAGAGGACAGGAAACCAGACAAUUAGAUAUUAAUUUUGGAUUUAAAAUAAAAAAGGGAAAUUUUAAUUGAGGAGAAUAUUUUGUGUAGGGACGGUUCCUUUUUACAAUUUAAUAUUGUAUGUUUUUCUGUGUGUGUUGUGGAAUGACAGUUUGUCUGUAAUGGUGUAUGAAUGUCAAGUCUGUGCUUGUGGUGUGGUGUUUGUGUAUUGUGAAUGGUUGACAUGAUUCAAAGUUGGGGUGAUGUGAUCACAGCAGAGGAUAACAUUCCUCUCACCUGAAAAAUAUAAAGAUACUACAGAUUUGAAAGAGCAUGAUUGAUCAGGACUAAUUUUUGACUAAAUAUGGGUUUAGGAUUACUCAGGGGCACCAUCGACAACAAAACAGUGCGAUGGAGAAGGCCCAUUUCAGUAAUAUGGUUAGACAAGACAGAACUGUUAUGGAACAUUAAGACUUUGGACGAUUUGAUGUGUGACGACUUUGAGCUCACCCGACGGGGUGACGGACUAGGUGGACAGUGACCAAGUGUUUGACGCUUGAGCUUGCUUGCGACAAGUGCACGCUCUGCUUUGUUUUUCUGUGUGACUUAAUUUUUUGCAGCAGCAACAGCCACCAGCCAAGGAGCGGAUUGCGCGCUGCUUGCGUAACUUGUUUUCGUUCUUGCAGGUUGUCGAUUGCGUUCGUGGAAAAUUUGUAUUGAAUUUACAAGAAUAUGUUAACCCUUGCCCUUUUGGUUUUUAUGAUGAACUUGUUGAUGACAUGGUUUUCAGGACAUGAUCCGCGGGCGCCAGGAUUCAUUUUAUGACUGUUUUUAUUCUGAUACUUGAUGUCUGUUUUUGUACAAAUGUCCGCUGUCAGCAGGGCUAUAAGCUCACUGACAGGAGUGCGAUGAUUUUUGUUUGUGUCGCCGAGCGUGUGGUGGACGAGCUAGAGGUUCCGCGGGCCUGACUACAAUGAGUGUGGUGAUGAGAGGGGAUGCUUAGCAGGUUCCUUUUGAUACAUAAUGACACAUUGGGUGAAUGUGUCAAAAGGGGGAGUGGUAAGAUAGAAUUGGGUGAGUAGGUUGUAAAAUACAAAUGGGUGAGUAGGUUGUAAAAUACAAAUGGGCGAGUAGGUUUCAAUUUGUAAUUUUGAUAUCCAAAGUUUUUUUUCCAAAUCCACUUGUUUUUAAGCUUUAACAGGACAUGCCAGAAUUCAACUAGCAGUGAUGGAAGGAGCAGAGGAAGACCAGUGACAACUGGUUGUGGUGUGGUGACAACAAAUUAUAGCAUCACUUGCCAAAGGAUGCAUAGGGUAUCUGUGCCCUCGUGUCUUUGAUAAUGCCUGUAGUGGUUGUCCCCAUUGAAACACAGAAUCUCAAUUGGAACAUGGAGUCCCCACUGGCGGGGCUCCUGAAGUGAGCCAAAAGAGACGUCUUGCCCCCAUGGUUGAGCGACAACGAUCCAACAUAUAUUGACGCCAUAGGUGUGCCAGAUAAGUAUGAAUUCGUUAAUCAAGUGUCCUCGGGAUUCAAAAGCAUUUUCCUAUGGAUCACCCCCAAUAAAAAUGUAUCAUUUACAGCGGUCCAUGAACAAUUGGCAUUGAUGUCGUUCCAAAAUAGAAUUGCGUUGGACAUGCUAUUGGCUAAGGAACAUGGUGUGUGCGGAAUGUUUGGUGAUGCAUGUUGUACUUUCAUCCCCAACAACACAGCGCCAGGGGGCCGACUGACCCAGGCGGGAAGAAAGGACCGACAGCAUGCUGGUCGCUGCUUGCUAGAGUAACGGGUGAUGACCUCAUAAAUGAGGUCAUGAGAGGGAAUAAAGGGAAAUGUACUUUCGGCAGUUUGCAAACACAUUUGAUUAAGGCUCCGUUAGACACAUAUAACCAUAUCAAUAUAAUUUCUAGUAGUAGUGUGGUUGCUUAAUAAGUGGAAAGGAAUGUGCAGGCUACAUGAAUUUGUUUUCUUCAAAGUAUUGUGGAACAGGAGGUCCGGAAAGGGAGCAUAUCUCAAGGCCGAUGGGAACGCGAAAAACAACUCGUCUUUGUGGUCCAGACACCUGUGCUGAGCAGGGGAAAACCCAAACGAGGAGGAGAUGACCACAGACCAUCGACCAAUCACCACACAAUCUUUUGCAUGUUUGAAUAUUCAUAUUGUGUUUCUUUAAAACUGGGCAACCCGGAAGAAUGUGUCGUCUUUCUGGUCACGAAGGCACACGAGUUUUUGUGUUAAGGACCCAAGACCCAGGCGCCUGUAUUAGCUUGCUUUGUCAAGAUUAAACAAUUGGUAAAUUCGG